UGACUUGUUUAUCUGCUCAGCUGUUUUGUGUCCAGGAGCCUGAGAGAGAGACAGAAGCAGCUGGGAGAAGAGAAAGCAACCCGGCCAGGGGCCCUCGUGGUCCCUCUGCCCUAGCCACGGGUUCUGAAACCACAGCAAAACCACCAGAGAGUGAUUCACAGGGGUAUAGGCUGCCCUCCGCCUACUCUGAAAGGUUUCUUUGGGGCCCAUAUGCUAGUUUCUGCUGGGCAAACACCCUGGCAAUGCCCUCCUGGCCUUGGAGCAGCAGUGCUGAUGGGUAGGCAUUCCUGCUGGGUUAAUACUGGCACAGAAUCACGUAAAUUUUCCUGGGCCUUAGUCUGCUGUACUCCCAUAUGUGGCUUGGCACGGUCCUUGGGGGCCAACCAGCUAGCUCUUAGCUUUGGUAUCAGCCGGACCAAACCAAUGAAAAUUGUCCCUGGUGGAAACAGGAUACCUGUCCCCACCCCUGCUCUGUUCUCCCCAGUGACUCCCCUCACUUUCAAGGCAGCCCAGUUUGGAUUUCCCUCUUCAACUGCCCAAGACCUUAUUGGUCUCCUUCGAGCCCCAGUGCUAGUCACAUUUGCAUGCUAAAUUGUUCUUUGGCAAGGCUAGGCUGCAACUCAAUUUGCCUUGAUGUCUUUUGACCAGGUUAAUAAACACACCAGCCCUCUCUGCACCUGAGGAUCCGGAACAAAGUUAUGCUCUAAUUAUAAUGCAAUUUCAAGAGUUUGCUUGUCCCCGCCCCGUUGGCUCUUUCUCCAUCUUAUUAUUUUCUUGUUGUUUGUUUAAAUGAGAACAUUUACUGGAACUUCUGUAGAUGACUCCCUUUCCCUCCUCCCCUAGAGAUGAGUCUGAUGCCAGCAGACUUUUUUUUGCCUCCCUAUGAGUGCACAAAGCCAAGGCAUCUCUGUAGACAAAGGGUCUGCUUCUUUGGCACUGAGCCUGGUGUUUGGGGACACUAAGAAACACAGAUGCCUUUUGCAUACGUCUCCGAUGCAGUCAGUGGCCACCAGCUUUUUUAGCAGCCCAAAACAACAACUCAGGAAGACCACAAGUCCCAGCUUGCUGCUCUCUGAGCACAAUGCCCAUCAGAACUGUAUGGCACCCACAGAGUGGGAAGGAUGGCAAAGGCCUGUGGGCGGAUGGAUGGAUUUGGGGAAGGAAGAACAGUGAGACUGUCUGUGGGGUGGUGAGGCAGAGUGACUGUCUCGUGGGAGAGGCUGGCCCGAGUGGGAAGGGGUGGGAGUGUGGAGUCAGUGGCUAGCUUCUAGUUAGUACCUGUUUUGCUCCUAACAAGGGAAGUGGUUCAGGGCUAGGUAUUUCCCUUCUCUGGACCCUGCUGUGUAAAAUGCAGGACUAGAGCCUCUGAUCUCAGAGUCCUUUUCUACUUGACAAAUUUGCUUGCUUUUAGAUUGCUAAUUUCUUUGCCUAUAGCCCAUUUCCUUUUCCAGAGGCCAGGUAACCAAAUAAA
rnacentral:lncRNA from 1 species